UACGUAGGGUGCAAGCGUUGUCCGGAAUUAUUGGGCGUAAAGAGCUCGUAGGCGGUUUGUCGCGUCUGCCGUGAAAGUCCGGGGCUCAACUCCGGAUCUGCGGUGGGUACGGGCAGACUAGAGUGAUGUAGGGGAGACUGGAAUUCCUGGUGUAGCGGUGAAAUGCGCAGAUAUCAGGAGGACACCGAUGCGAAGGCAGGUCUCUGGGCAUUAACUGACGCUGAGGAGCGAAAGCAUGGGGAGCGAACAGG
rnacentral:rRNA from 1 species